rnacentral:tRNA from 2 species
GGGCACGUCGCCUAGUGGAUAUGGCACCUGACUACGGAUCAGGACUAACGGGGGUUCGAAUCCCUCCGUGCCCGCUA